GGGGAGUUCUGGAACUUGGCAACAGAAGGGCCGGGAGGAGGCUGCUAGCAAUGGCUACGGGGAUGAGAAGGGAUGGAGAAGGAUCUUGAUGGCCUGGGUUAGCCGAAGCCCCAGUAGCAUAGCCAACCUCAAGAAGCCCAGAAAGGUGCCCUCCACUUGUCUCCUGGUAAAGGUGCAACAUGGGUCACACUUGAAGUUAAGCACUUGAACCUAAGCACCAGAACCCAGUUCCAGGAUUUCCUCCACCUACUGAGCAUCCUGCUGAUAUAUCAAGGGGAUAGGACAAUAAGAUUUACUCCUGGCUCCUAGACAACAUCAGCGUAUUUUCAUAGUGGUCCCAAGCUCCCCAGGGUGAUCAGAAGACCAGGCCUCCCAUCAGCCAGCCAGUGGAGGCUAUUUGGAAGCCCCUCAGCUCAACUGAGGCAAGUAGUCUCUUCCCCUGCCCACCCCAUCAUUGCACCCUCUUCUGCUGCUACAUUCUUUGUGGUCAUGCCCGACUUCCCCCCUUGCCUUAAAUAGAGAGCCAGAGGCCCCUCCAGGCUGCCAGGAUCCAAGGAAGGCAGGAUGAAUCUCCCGCACAGUGGGAAGCAACCUCAGAUUGGGAAGGGUUCCUCCCAAAGUCAACUCAAUAAAACAAAGAAG
rnacentral:lncRNA from 1 species